UGAUCUGCCCUGCACUUCGGGAUAAGCCCGGGAAACUGGGUCUAAUACCGGAUAGGACUGCGCGGUGCAUGCCGUGUGGUGGAAAGAUUUAUCGGUGCAGGAUGGGCCCGCGGCCUAUCAGCUUGUUGGUGGGGUAAUGGCCUACCAAGGCGACGACGGGUAGCCGGCCUGAGAGGGCGACCGGCCACACUGGGACUGAGACACGGCCCAGACUCCUACGGGAGGCAGCAGUGGGGAAUAUUGCACAAUGGGCGCAAGCCUGAUGCAGCGACGCCGCGUGAGGGAUGACGGCCUUCGGGUUGUAAACCUCUUUCAGCAGGGACGAAGCGUGAGUGACGGUACCUGCAGAAGAAGCACCGGCCAACUACGUGCCAGCAGCCGCGGUAAUACGUAGGGUGCAAGCGUUGUCCGGAAUUACUGGGCGUAAAGAGCUCGUAGGCGGUUUGUCGCGUCGUCUGUGAAAACCAGCAGCUCAACUGUUGGCUUGCAGGCGAUACGGGCAGACUUGAGUAUUUCAGGGGAGACUGGAAUUCCUGGUGUAGCGGUGAAAUGCGCAGAUAUCAGGAGGAACACCGGUGGCGAAGGCGGGUCUCUGGGAAAUAACUGACGCUGAGGAGCGAAAGCGUGGGUAGCGAACAGGAUUAGAUACCCUGGUAGUCCACGCCGUAAACGGUGGGCGCUAGGUGUGGGUUUCCUUCCACGGGAUCCGUGCCGUAGCUAACGCAUUAAGCGCCCCGCCUGGGGAGUACGGCCGCAAGGCUAAAACUCAAAGGAAUUGACGGGGGCCC
rnacentral:rRNA from 1 species